rnacentral:rRNA from 1 species
CCUAACACAUGCAAGUCGAGCGAGGUAGCAAUACCUAGCGGCAGACGGGUGCGUAACAUGUGGGAAUCUGACCUUUUUGGUUCGGAACAACACGGGGAAAACCUGUGCUAAUACCGGAUAAGUCCUUACGGAGAAAGUUUUAAUGCCAAAAGAUGAGCCCGCAUUUGAUUAGCUAGUUGGUGAGGUUAAAAGCUACACCCAAGGCGAUAAUCAAUAGCUGAUUUGAGAGGAUGAUCAGCCACACUGGGACUGAGAUACGGCCCAGACUCC